CCUCAUUACAACAGGGAAGUUGAGAUGCUGGAGCAAGUGCAGAGGAGGCCAAUGAAGCUGGGGAAGGGCCUGGAGAAAAAAAUCUUACAAGGAGCAACUGAGGGAGUUGUGGAUGAGUAGUCUGAAAAGGAGGAGGCUGAAGGGAGAUGCCACUGCUGUCUACAACUAUGUGGAAGGACCCUGUGGACAGGUUGGUGCUGGUCUUUUCUUACAGAGUGGUCCAGGAAAAGAACAGGCUGUGUGUUCUACAGUGACAAUCAUGAGACUGAACUCUUAUACAGCCAUGUAACAAGAAAAAGACAGCCAACCAGGAGAGGCAGCAGGACAAGGGAAAAUCCACAUAACACAAAUCAUCAAGAAUACCCAAGGUUGCCAAAGAAACCUUGCCAAAGAAACAUCACCAAAGAAGACAGAGGGAAGACAGUAGUCCUCCUGGGAGAAUCUCAAGCUUCAUUGACAUUAAAGCUUAAGGUGUACUGAAAGGUUGUGGGUCAUUUCCUGUACAGGAUAAGGAAAUUGUUAGCUGUCCUGCCUCAAACAGCUCUGCAGCCCUUCCUGAACUGUGGCAUCCUGUUCUGUGAAUGAUCUGCCGUGUCCCUGUGGCUGUUUCCGAUCUCUCAUCUCUGUUAUUACCAGAGAAUUU